rnacentral:lncRNA from 1 species
AUGGCCGCCCUUCAAUCCCCUCCAGUCUCAGACUCCAUGCCUACUAGAAUACCCCCAAUGCAUCAGCAUCAACUUGAAAUAGACGAAGAUGAAGAGGAAGAGUUGGGAGAGAAAUUUGAGUUUGAUGACUCUGAUGAAGACAGUGCCCAGGCCAAGAAGUCUGAGGCGGACGGAGGAUUCUACUCUGAGGUGGACGAAGGACUCAACAAUGGAGCCUCCCAGCAAGCAGUGGUCCUUUCCACAUUUCAAAGCCCGGUGUUACCAGCUCCCGGGGACAACACGGUGCUACCACCACCUCCCGGGGACAACACGGGGCUACCACCUCCAGGGGACAACAGUCACAAAGUCAGUGUCAACGUGACUCCUACAGGUCAGGACAACCAGAGUAACAGCCCAGGUAGGAUAUCCAAUGAUAAACCAAUCCAAUGGUAGUUUCCUCCUUUCUAUGUGACCUGAUGGUAUAUGCUAUACCUCUGCUUUGGAACAGUAAGGUCUAUGUGACCUGAUGGUAUAUCCCAUACCUCUGCUUUGGAACAGUAAGGUGCUUUGUAAGACAGGCGUCUUUUAUGGUGUGAGCUUUCCAGUCAAAGUUGUUGAAAAUACUGCAGUCUUAUCACAGAUGUUUUUUUAUGGCUGCUUUGUGUCCAUUCAGUGUCAUUUGUUUUCUGUAGCUUGGCGUCCCUGCACUUUCAAAACAUUUGUCACUUUGUGACAGCGAAAGCAUGCACUGUCAUCUGUCGAAAUGCAAAAUAACACAUUGCUCACAGCUAAACUUGAAAGACUGGAAACACAUGUAGACCUGAAACAUGUUGGCCUCAAGUGCAUCCGCCAAUUGCAUAUCUCUGUGUUUUGUUGGAGCCAGACUUUUGUACGUGAAACCCCAUAAAUGAAUUACGUUUGUACUGCUGCCCAGUUUUGUUUAGAAGUUUUCUCUUCCCUCUUUUGCCACUGUCAACUCAAGCACUCAUAAAACAGAGGCUGCCAUCUUAGUCACACAAGCCAGCCUACUACUUCCAGGGUAUGAAUGAGAAUAUGGGUGUACAUGUACACCUCCCCAGACACAGCUGGAGAAUUGAGACACCAUCCACCCACCCACAUAUUUGGAACGCGUCCAGCUACGCAGCUAUGCAAUGGGAGGAUUUCUGUGUUUUGUCAGUUCUUGUCAACGCCUCGGCAACGCAGUACACCUAAACCCAUUUGUUUUCUGUCUCACAGAUAUGGUGGCCAGAGAGUCUCCUGAUGGGUAGGCCUCCUGAAUUCCUAUUCAUGAUUACCAGGCUUCCUCUGGAUGAGAGUGUCUAUGUUUGUGGGGGGUUGAAGCAGAGAUUGCUGUUAUCUAACCCUCUAUAUGAUCACAUACUGUUGAGAAAUGACAUGAGGAAUGACAUAUGUGUUGUGAAAGUAUAGAAGAGGACAGCAUGCCUGUUGUGUU